rnacentral:lncRNA from 1 species
AAAAAAACCCUAAAUUCCUAUGCAUACCUGCAGUUCAUCCAUCCCUCCUUGUGCCCCUAGCAAAUGUUUUCCAGAUGUGAAUAAGGAACUAUUUCCACAGCAGUCAUAAUUUCUUCCUCAAUUCUUGAAUGCCUUUAGCAUACUUUUACAAAAGUGUUUUUGUUUUCAAUGCAAUUGACAUUUCUAAUAAAUUCCAAGUUUUAAGCUUAUAGGGCACGAACACAAGAUGAGGAGUGGUAACAAUUUAGAGAUGGGUGUCGCUGGUUCAGUGCUCCUACAGCGAAGGAAAUGUUUCCUCUAUGUAAGGAUUGGUGGCUUCAGUUUUCUUUGGGGAAGCGUGAUAACUGGAUGAAAACAGGCAAUAAAAGUGGCCAAAAGAAACAGAGAAUACUGAUGUGUGAUGCAGGAUUAUCAGGCUAACAGUUUCCUCAGAGCAAUGACUUCAUUCUGGCUUUAAGAUACCAAUAUACCUGUUCCAGCUAAUUAUCUGGAAUUGGAGACUUUUUGGAAAAUGGAUACAUUUCCUCAGGAGACCAAGGAGCCAAAUGCUGCCGUCAGUGGUGAAGUGGAACCUGAUGGAGUCUCAAUCUGUUGCCAGGCUGGAGUACAGUGGUGCGAUCUUGGCUCACUUACAACCUCCACGUCCUGGGUACAAGCAAUUCUCCUGCCUCAGCCUCCCGAGCAGCUGGGACUACAGGUGAAUGCCACCAUGCCCGGGUAA